GUCCCACUCCUUUUUGGCUAAUCUACCAGAUUUACUGUAUUUUACAUUCUUUGAUUUUAUAUUUUAUAGAGAACGUGGCGUUGAGAAGAGUGGCCACCCAGUCCUCUCUGUACAAUAUUCAGGGUGAACCUGCUCAUGCCAUUGGCGGGGACAAUAACCAAGACUAUCAAGCAGGAUCCUGUAGCGACACUUCAUGGCAAACCAAUCCCUGAUGGAGAUUGGACCUGCUGGAUGUGUACAGAGUGACCUAUGUCUGGAUCACCAACAGUGAUGCCAACCCUGACGAUCUUGGUUGUGCUGAGAUCCGCAUUGAUGUGCUAUCAUCUCCCAAAUCCGACCAGGAAAGACCAAAAAUGUCCAGUGUAAUAAGAUGGAGGGUCACUACGUCAUUGUGGUAAUUCCUGGAAAGGACAAGCUACUCAUGCUAUGUGAGGUGGAGGUAUAUACCACUCCUGCAGACACACCCAUCUCUGUGCCCUCCACUCAACCUCCCACCAGCAGUACUUCCAAAAUCCUCCUAUCUUCUCUCCUCUCUUCUCAAACAACCUCUCACCUGUCAACUUCUCCACCUUCCACCAGUGUUUCCACCCCCCCCCAAUAACUCCCCCAUCUUCUCUAAUUUCUUCCACAACAUCCAUUCCUCCUCCUUCUCCUCAUUUAACCAGUGCUUCAACUCCCCCAUCCGCUCCUCUGUCCACCCCUCUUCCACCUCCUUCCAUCAGUGUUUCCAAAAUCCCCCCAACUCCCCCAUCUUCUCUCCUCUCUUCCCCAACAUCCACUCCUCUUCCUUCUUCUUCAACCAGUGCUUCAACUCCCCCAUCUUCUCCCACACCCUCUCUCCUGCCCACCACCCCUCCUCCACUUCCUUCCUACAGUGUCCUCUUGAGGGGGAGGAAGGUGACAGUGGUGACGAAGAAGCUGUGUUGGUCCGACGCUAUGUUCUACUGUAGGGAUCACUAUGGGGACCCGCUCAUUGUCCGCAGCAAGGAUGAACAGAGAGCGGUGGAGGAUCUGCUGCGGCGCAGCGACCUGCCCUCCUUCACCCCCCAUCUGUGGCUGGGACUUCGCAGCAGACAGGUGGUACUGGAUGACCGGGGGCCACAUGGACUACAGACACUGGGAGGGAGUCGCACCCCCUAGCUACUAAGGACUUCUCCAACCCCUGUGGAGCGAUGAUCAACAGGGAGGCUUCCUCUGGGUGGAGCGGCGUUGCGAUGACCAUCACAACUUCCUCUGCUACUCAGGUGAAGAUGACAGAAAUGCACUUCCUUACCUCCUCAUGGUCACUCAGUGAACCUCAUCGAACCUCUUUUCAUCCGGUGUUUCAAAUGACUUACUGUACCUCCAAUACUUGAACUAUGUGUUAUGAUGCCGUGUCUGAAUGCUUAGUACCGAGGUACCAUGAUUCAAAAACCCCUGUCUCGUUUUCCUCCUGAGUAACAUCUCUCCUUUUCGCUCCCUCUCUCAGAUGCAGUA